rnacentral:rRNA from 1 species
AUAGCCUUAGGAAUUUAUUUAAGGUCUAGCCUGCCCAAUGUUUAAAUUAAUGGCCGCAGUACCUUAACUGUGCAAAGGUAGCAUAAUCAAUUGGCUUUUAAAUGGAGUCUUGUAUGAAAGGAGUGACGUGGUAAAGCUGUCUCAAUUUUGUUUUAUUUAACUUACUAAAAAGGUGAAAAAUCCUUUAAUUAUGAAAAAAGACGAGAAGACCCUUAGAGUUUUUAUAAAAGUUUAUUAAUAUAAGCUAAGUAUUUGUUGGGGCGACAAGGAAACAAAUAACUUUCCUGUUUUACUAGACGUGUUUUCAAAGUAAGAUUAAACUACCUAAGGGAUAACAGCAUAAUUCUUUUUGAGUUUGUGACCUCGAUGUUGGACUAGGAACUAACCAGACAAGCCGUCUGGCUUUGUGGCUCUGUUCGAGCUU